rnacentral:lncRNA from 1 species
GGUUGAAAUUGAACUCUUGUUUUGAUUGGUUCUUAGUUAUUGGCGGUUAAAUUGAGUUUUCCUUUGUGUACCUUUGGGUAGAAUUUACCUGGACACUGGUCAGUGAAAGACGUCCAUUAUUUACCCAGACUAUUAUAGCAGAAACCCAUAUUGACAGAUUGUGUAUUUACUAUAUUCAUCUACAUAGUUUUCCAGACAUGACUAGUAAGUUGCACUUUCUUCUUUAUUAACAUUUUGACACGAAUUAAUAGAUUUGGUUAACUUUCCUAUUUUCAAGUAAAUACUCUUCAGAUUGCAUGUUUAUAACAUCGGAAUGAAAGAUUUGAAUGAGCUUUUUUUUGGUAAAGAAGCUAGGUCAUAUUUUUAUAAAGUAAUGUAAUAUUUGCCGCUGAUCAUAGCGUAAUUAUGUAAUGUUUAGAGAUAUCGUAAUAACAGUAUUUUACGAAUACUGCAUGUAGAAAAAUGGCGGCAUGUAUGAUAAGUUACAGUAUAUUGUGAAAAGAAUAUUCGAGUUACAUAUUGUGUAAUGCUAUUUUUAUAUGGACGAAUUGAAUACAAUUGUCAUGUGAUUAGUAUUUUAUAUAAUUACGAAGAGUCCGUUCUUAUUAUUGUAUUUUGGUUUUCAGGACUCUGAUGUAGAUUACUUCUUUAUACUUUGUGCCAAGUUCCUUAUUUACUAGAGAACUCGCUCCACAAGUGGUAAGCGCAUAAUUUGUAGCUUUUGUGUUAUUUUAUACUAUAGAAAUGAUAGUUAGUCAUGGAUUAUUUCCAUUGGCGAUUUGCGCGUUUUUAGCAAAUCAGUGGUAGAAUUUAUAUGUCGGUAUUCAGACAUAGUAAAUACUUUUUGAAUGUUGUAAUAUUUAUUAAGUUUAAUUGUAAACUUUCAUGUACUUGCGAGAAGUAAUUUUAAGAUUCAUUUAAUUCUAUUUGGUUGUAAACGCAAUAAAACUGAUUACCGUUAUAUUUAAAUGUCGGUCAGAGAAACCGGUUUGUUAAAGUACAUGUUACAUGUGAUGUACAUUUCACUACACGAUUGAAUGAAUAAACAUUCCAUAGUAAAUGUGUAUCUACUGUUUAUAGUAACACUAUUAUAUUAGGAAUCGUUUGAACUGUAUUAAAAUUGUCUGUGAUAUAAUAUGUGUAUAAUAUAUUCUAUAUGUUACAUGAAUUAUCAUUAAUGUUUAUAAUCUUGUUAUUUCAGAGUUUUUAUUCUCUGGUAAUAAAACCAUCCGAACCUUAGAAAGUCUUCUAGUUAUUAAUUUAUACCGGAAGAGACCCCUUUCACAUUUGGCGCCCACGAA